CGUAAGGGAACCUGCGGAAGGUUCAUUA
rnacentral:rRNA from 1 species